AUUCAACAACCAAUAGAAUGCCAGCUGUAGUGUUGACCAAUGAAAUGAUCCCUGCCCCGUUGAAGAUGCGUUCAAUUUACUGUUGAGGGCGGCUGCUCUGUAACCAAGUUUAGCUAUGUAGCUACCCCCGCGCCGUCCAUUGCUUUAUUAUAAGUAUAUGUCAACAAUGUGCACAGAGUGGUCGAUGCACUUUCACCUGCACCCAUCAGGAAACUGGAGAAAGUCCACAACUACGAGGGUGUGACUGAAGUAUCCCUGUUGAGCUGCAUCACAGCACACUGGUCUAUGCACUAUGUGCAUGUAUGUUUCUUGCUUAAAUCCACACACAACCAGGCCUGGGAGAGAAAAUUACUGAUAUCCACAAAACCAAAUCAGACAAGGAGCAUACUAUAUAAAGACAACAGUGGAGAG